AUGCCACGGGGGAAGAGAUGGAAAAGGAGGAGAGGAAAAGAGGCACUUUUUCAACUUUGCCUCUAAUAUCUUCGUUAAUUGAACUCAUCAGCUAAAAUCAUUUGUGGAAAUAAAAAAAAAAAAGGAGAGCGAAAAGGAACUGAUCAUAUGCGGGAGAAAUAACUCAGAUGUGAAAAUCCUUCAGACUAGGAGAUUGCACUAUUUAUUCACCCAAGUGUCCUGCUGUGUCUCUGAAAUGCAGUGAUUUAAUGAGGUGCUGCAAAGACUCAUUCGGCCAUCAGCCCUGGCAAUCAACAAGUCCUCCUGAGAUCUCUAAUCCAGUCGCUUCAUACAGACAAGACCAGCUCUGAUCCAGCUCCUCAACAGGUUGGACACCCCACUUCCUGACACACUGGUGCUAUUUCCUUCCUUUAACUCUAGCUCUGAUGUCUACCAGGGCUAACUCUUGGGCAACACAGACAGCAUCAGAAGAGGAGCUGCCUCCCAUGAGUCCAACUGAGUGUUUUUUUCUGUCAGUCAGUCAAUAACUCUGUCCACAAAAUGUAUCCAGCCUCUAAGCAAGACACUGAGGAUUCAGGAGGAACAAACUGGACCCUCAUGGAGGUCCCCAUCUGUCAGAGGAUGCACACACUAGGCAUGUUAUUGCAGAUAAGUGAAUACUGUGCAGAGGACUUCCAAAAGAAACUAUGGGGGCUCAGGGGAAUAAAUGAGGACAGAAAUGACCCCAAGGUAAGGCAAGUGAGCAAGCAAUGUUUUUUUACCACAGUGAACAAACCAAAUACAGAUCACAUUAGGGGUGGGUCUGUUGCUGGCCCUCCUUUCUAGCCUGGGACAUCUUUGCCACUCCAACUAGCUCCUCGAUCCCUCCUGGCAUCCUUGCCCCAUUAGCUGUUGGGCAUCACCCUUCUUGUCUUAUCCCCAGCCUGACACCCAGAGGACGGAAUGAUAACCCCUACCCCACAUCACUACCAGAGGAUCCAUUCUUUUCUCUGAGCUCUCAAUCUUGCAUAGAAGUUCCAGAAGCAAGCAAAAAUGAGAACCAGGUCACUUUCUAAAGUGCAGUCUUGGAAACAGCCAUGGCCAAACACCACAAAGAACACUCCAAACAGGUGACUAAGUCUAGAGGUCCUCCCUGGAGGCCAGCAAGACCCUUCUAGGCUCUCCUUCUUUUACCUUAGCAAGUUCUAGUACUAGUGCCCAAGGCACAGAGGUAUUAAAUGACAA